rnacentral:lncRNA from 1 species
AGUAACAGUGUGCAGCUGAGGGAUCCAGGCUGGUGGGAAGCUCUGCUCCAUGUCUUCUCCCAGACACCCAUAUUCAGUGGCUCUUACUCCCAUACAUGCUCAACAUAUGGCCUCUAUACCUGGUUCCAUGGGAACUACAAAGAUGUUAUUUUCCAAGCAACUUUAAGGAGGCGAGGAAGUGCCGAAAGGAAACUGUUGGCUGUGUUGUGUGCAUCCAGAGAGGAUUAAGAAUAAGAUUGGUUAUGUUACUGGACGUUGUUCAGAUACAAGCUUCUGUUACAGUGAGAACCCUUCUUGCUGUGCCCACACAGAUGUCUCAUGUGCUAUGAGAGGAAAUCAAGGGAGAGUCUGGAAGUGCAGAAACCAUCAAGGCCUACCUUAAUGCAACCAUUAAUAGCGUGGUUAAAAGUGAAAAAUUCUGGGAAAAAUCCUAAACUAGAUAGGAAGAUAGACUGAUAGGAAACCUAGUUUUUUUUAGUUGGAUAAUUAUAUAUCCCGAUAAAUCUCAAGGAACAAUUCCAAAAGAACAAGAAAGUGAGAGCUAAACUUGUAUCAUGGGAAUUCAUUGUAAGUAUUAAAGACAUACGCGAACUUUGAAACUUUAACAGUUUUGAGAUAGAGAAGAAUAUAAUUAUGACAUUGUUAUACAG